rnacentral:rRNA from 1 species
AGAGUUUGAUCAUGGCUCAGGAUGAGCGCUGGCGGCGUACCUAACGCAUGCAAGUCGAACGGACUCGAGUAGCAAUACUGGGGUUAGUGGCAAACGGGUGAGUAACACGUAGGGAUCUGCCUUGAGGUGGGGAACAACGGACCGAAAGGUUCGCUAAUACCGCAUGUGGUCGCGAGACCAAAGGAUUCGAAAGGAUUCGCCUUGAGAGGAGCCUGCGUUCGAUCAGGUAGUUGGUGAGGUAACGGCUCACCAAGCCGAUGACCGAUAGCUGUUCUCGAGAGGAAGAUCAGCCACACUGGGACUGUGACACGGCCCAGACUCCUACGGGAGGCAGCAGCGAGGAAUAUUGCACAAUGGACGCAAGUCUGAUGCAGUAACGCCGCGUGGGGGAAGAAGACCUUCGGGUUGUAAACCUCUUUUAUAUAGGACGAGUGUGGACGGUACUAUAGGAAUAAGUCUCGGCUAACUACGUGCCAGUAGCCGCGGUAAGACGUAGGAGGCGAGCGUUAUCCGGAUUCACUGGGCGUAAAGCGCAUGUAGGCGGUUUGUUAAGUCCGGUGUUAAAGCCCCUGGCUCAACUGGGGGAGGUCAUUGGAGACUAACAGACUUGAGGGCAACAGAGGCACGUGGAACUCCCGGUGUAGCGGUGGAAUGCGUAGAGAUCGGGAAGAACACCAGUGGCGAAGGCGACGUGCUGGGUUGCAACUGACGCUGAGAUGCGAAAGUGUGGGGAGCAAACGGGAUUAGAUACCCCGGUAGUCCACACUGUAAACGAUGAACCCUAGGUGUGGGGCGGUAAAACGCUCCGUGCCGAAGCCAACGCGUUAAGGGUUCCGCCUGGGGACUAUGAGCGCAAGCUUAAAACUCAAAGGAAUUGACGGGGGCCCGCACAAGCAGCGGAGCGUGCGGUUCAAUUCGAUGCGACACGAAGAACCUUACCAGGGUUUGACAUGCAGGUGGUAGGGAAGGGAAACUGGACCGACUCGCAAGAGAGCCUGCACAGGUGAUGCAUGGCUGUCGUCAGCUCGUGCCGUGAGGUGUUGGGUUAAGUCCCGCAACGAGCGCAACCCCUGUUGCCAGUUACAAGUGUCUGGCGAGACUGCCGACGAUUCGUCGGAGGAAGGCGGGGAUGACGUCAAGUCAGCAUGUCCUUUAUAUCCUGGGCGACACGCACGCUACAAUGGGCGUUAAUAAGGACGUAGCCAAGAGGAAACUCGGAGCAAAUCGCGGAAAAGCGCCCACAGUUCAGAUUGCCGGCUGCAACCCGCCGGCAUGAAGUCGGAGUUGCUAGUAAACGCGCGUCAGCCAUAGUGCGUUGAAUACGUUCCCGGGCCUUGUACACACCGCCCGUCACGUCAUGGGAGUCGGCAACACCUGAAGUCGGUGACCUAACCGCAAGGAAGGAACUGCCGAAGGUAGGGCUGGUGACUGGGACGAAGUCGUAACAAGGUAGCUGUACCGGAAGGUGCGGCUGGAUCACCUCCUUUCU